ACUAAUUUGACUCACAAUUUUGAAAGUAAGGACCCAUUUCAAUCACUUUUAAAAUGAGAGACUAAAUUGAGAUUUGUCAACAAAACUGAGGACAAAAUUGACUAUUAAACCUAUUUUUUUUUUAUUUUUCUAUUUUCUAUUUCUUUUUCUUUUAUAGAUGACAUAUAUACAAGAAUGCAUCUCAUCAACCAACACUAAUUCACCAUUGUUACUCAUGCUCCUUUUUUAAUAAUAACUUCCCCCACACUUGAAUCAUACUACUGACCAUGGAAACCUUACUCUCCCAUCAAGGUGAGAUUGUCAGUCAUAUUCAACAAGGCUUAAGGUUUCAAAAGUGAAGGUAAGUUUCAU
rnacentral:lncRNA from 1 species